rnacentral:rRNA from 1 species
CCUACGGGUGGCUGCAGUCGAGAAUCAUUCACAAUGGGGGAAACCCUGAUGGUGCGACGCCGCGUGGGGGAAUGAAGGUUUUCGGAUUGUAAACCCCUGUCAUGUGGGAGCAAAUUAAAAAGAUAGUACCACACGAGGAAGAGACGGCUAACUCUGUGCCAGCAGCCGCGGUAAUACGGAGGUCUCAAGCGUUGUUCGGAAUCACUGGGCGUAAAGCGUGCGUAGGCUGUUUGGUAAGUCGUGUGUGAACGGCGCGGGCUCAAUCCGCGAACGGCACAUGAUACUGCGAGACUAGAGUGAGGGAGGGGGAACCGGAAUGCUCGGUGUAGCAGUGAAAUGCGUAGAUAUCG